GAAUGCUGACAUAAGUAACGAUAAAGCGGGUGAAAAGCCCGCUCGCCGGAAGACCAAGGGUUCCUGUCCAACGUUAAUCGGGGCAGGGUGAGUCGACCCCUAAGGCGAGGCCGAAAGGCGUAGUCGAUGGGAAACGGGUUAAUAUUCCCGUACUUGGUGUUACUGCGAAGGGGGGACGGAGAAGGCUAUGUUGGCCGGGCGACGGUUGUCCCGGUUUAAGCGUGUAGGUGUGUGUUCCAGGUAAAUCCGGUUCACUUUAACACUGAGGCGUGACGACGAGGCACUACGGUGCUGAAGCAACAAAUGCCCUGCUUCCAGGAAAAGCCUCUAAGCAUCAGGUAACACGAAAUCGUACCCCAAACCGACACAGGUGGUCAGGUAGAGAAUACCAAGGCGCUUGAGAGAACUCGGGUGAAGGAACUA
rnacentral:rRNA from 1 species